rnacentral:rRNA from 1 species
UACAGAGGUCCCAAGCGUUGUUCGGAUUCAUUGGGCGUAAAGGGUGCGUAGGCGGCGCGGUAAGUCGGGUGUGAAAUCUCGGGGCUUAACUCCGAAACUGCAUUCGAUACUGCCGUGCUUGAGGACUGGAGAGGAGACUGGAAUUUACGGUGUAGCGGUGAAAUGCGUAGAUAUCGUAAGGAAGACCGGUGGCGAAGGCGGUCUGCUGGGCAGUUUCUGACACUGAGGCGCGACAGCGUGGGGAGCAAACAGG